rnacentral:rRNA from 1 species
GCAGUGGGGAAUCUUCCGCAAUGGGCGAAAGCCUGACGGAGCAACGCCGCGUGAGUGAUGACGGCCUUCGGGUUGUAAAACUCUGUGAUCCGGGACGAAAAGGCAGAGUGCGAAGAACAAACUGCAUUGACGGUACCGGAAAAGCAAGCCACGGCUAACUACGUGCCAGCAGCCGCGGUAAUACGUAGGUGGCAAGCGUUGUCCGGAAUUAUUGGGCGUAAAGCGCGCGCAGGCGGGCGGACAAGUCCGUCUUAAAAGUGCGGGACUUAGCGACGGAAGCGGAAGGAAACUGGGAGGCUGGAGUAUCGGUUGCGAAAGUGGACGACGAAGUGUAGCGGUGAAAUGCGUAGAGACAAGGAAGAACACCGGUGGCGAAGGCGCCUUUCUAGACUAUUACUGACGAUGCGGCUCUACAGCGUUUGCAGAACACAGGAUUAUA